GGAGGGAUCAUCAAAGAACAAUCUACCAAGUGUUGGGGGGCGAGGGCAACCUCCUCUCCCGGCACUUCAAACAAACGAUCACAACUAUGCGUUUUAUUGUCUGGGGGGAAGCAGUUUGAAAAAGUGUUUGCCUGAUAAUUGGUUGACUUAGAUAUAGCAUACAACUUUCAACAACGGAUCUCUUGGCUCUCACAUCGAUGAAGAACAUAGCAAAGUGUGAAAAUUAAUGUGAAUUGCAGAAUUCAGUGAAUCAUUGAGUUUUUGAACGCAUCUUGCACUCCUUGGUAUUCCAGGGAGUAUGCCUGGUUGAGUAAUGUGAACAUAUCUAUCAGUUUUCUCUUGAGGAGACUGGAGCUGAGUGGUUUACCUUGCCUGCCGCCUGUUUCUCUGGGGGGCCAUCCAUGGCGCUUUCGAGAGAUAGGGGGCGAAAGCAGGGUUCACUUGAAAUGAAGGGAAAGAGACAACAGGGCUUUGGGCAUGCUAUUAUUGUAGCAGGCAGUCAAAAGACAAGCGCGCGAGACCUUUUCCUCUCAUUGAGAGGAGAGGGGAUCCAGGAGAUUGGCUUGAUCAUAACAAUGGCUUGAUGAAUGUGAGCGGAAACGUUCUUUCUAAGGCCUUGUUUAGAGCCUGCUUCUCUGCGAGUCUGAAGAUCUGUUCCAGCCUCGGGCUCUUUCCACAACUAGGAAAUGUGGGUGGCUAUGGGGGCGGGCGUGUGUGGGAACGGAAUGGAUUCUCUGCAAUCCGCUCCCUCUCACCAGCAAUCGUCACUGCCACCACCACCACCAUCAUCAUCAUUCUCAACUCAGGCAAGACUACCCGCUGAAUUUAAGCAUAUAAAUAAGCGGAGGAAAAGAAACUAACAAGGAUUCCCUCAGUAACUGCGAGUGAAGCGGGAAAAGCUCAACUUUGAAAUCUACCAAGAGUAACAUUCUUGGUCGAAUUGUAGUUUCAAGAAAGAAUGGCUGAGCGGAAGUCAGUUGGAUGCAAGUUCCUUGGAAUGAGACAUCAGAGAGGGUGACAAUCCCGUUCACCGUCCUCCUGCCACUUCCUCACAGAAAGGCCUUCUUUUCAAAGAGUCGAGUUGUUUGGGAUUGCAGCUCAAAAUGGGUGGUAAAUUUCAUCUAAAGCUAAAUAUGGGUGAGAGACCGAUAGCGAACAAGUACCGUGAGGGAAAGAUGAAAAGCACUCUGAAGAGAGAGUGAAAAGUACGUGAAAUUGUUGAAAGGGAAACGCUUGAAACCAGUCAAGGCCUGCUGGAUGUCAGGAGGGUCUGUGUGCCGGGCGGGGCUGGAUGCAGCGAUGGAUCUCUCAUGGUCGACGCUGCGCCGGCGCCAGCGCGGCCGCGCUCUCUGCACGCUUCUAGCAGGCGAGUCAGCAUCAGUUUGGGACCCGGGAAAAAGCCAACAGGACCUGGUCAGGCACCCAGCGAGCCCCUUUCGGCUCCUGGGUGUCUGAGCCUGCUGGCACCAUACCGGGCCGGCCAGACUGAGGACUGCAGCACAGGGCAUUGCCUUGGACUAGACGGGCUUGCGGUGCCGCCUCGAGCAAACAGCUUGCUGAUUGCCCUUGGUGCAGCCACCCGAGACCGUCCUAUCCAAGCGGGCCCUGGCUCUGGAUGUUGACGAAAUGGUUUUAAACGACCCGUCUUGAAACACGGACCAAGGAGUCUAACAUGGAUGCAAGUAUUUGGGUGCUUGGAAACCCAUAUGCGCAAUGAAAGUGAACUCUUGAUGGGUAGGACGCCGGCGGCUCCGCGCCGCUGGCCGCACUAUCGACCAAUCUUUACUAGCUUCGGCUUGGUAGAUUUGAGUAAGAGCAUGCAUGCUGGGACCCGAAAGAUGGUGAACUAUGCCUGAAUAGGGUGAAGUCAGACGAAAGUCUGAUGGAAGCUCGCAGCGAUUCUGACGUGCAAAUCGAUCGUCGAAUUUGGGUAUAGGGGCGAAAGACUAAUCGAACCAUCUAGUAGCUGGUUCCUGC
rnacentral:misc_RNA from 1 species